UACGUAGGGACCGAGCGUUGUCCGGAUUCAUUGGGCGUAAAGAGCGUGUAGGCGGUCUGGUAAGUCAGCUGUGAAAGUCAAGGGCUCAACCCUUGAAAGCCGGUUGAUACUGUCGGGCUAGAGUCCGGAAGAGGCGAGUGGAAUUCCCGGUGUAGCGGUGAAAUGCGCAGAUAUCGGGAGGAACACCAAUGGCGAAGGCAGCUCGCUGGGACGGUACUGACGCUGAGACGCGAAAGCGUGGGGAGCAAACAGG
rnacentral:rRNA from 1 species